AAGAGAGAAAAUAAACUGCAGCCUUUGAAACUUUGAGAAUGGGAGCAGAACUAGCAAAGAUGCCAAUAUGUUGCUUUUAUCUGCAUUUGCACCUGCACUUGUUUCUUCCUUCAUCUCCUCAAAACUUUAAACACCAGAGCUUCAAAGCUUCGAAUUGCUUCAAAGCUUCAAAGCAUGGCUAAGGCAAGAAAAAAGGAAAGAGAAUUAAGAAAAUGGAAACUUAUGUAUGGAAGGUAGAAAGGAAGAGAAGGAACCAGCAAGAGGUGCAGGUGCCAAUGCAGGUGAAUGCCAUCUUGGUUCAAUAUUCAACAUACAAAUCCACUUUGUCCUGAUUACAUAUAUAUGAUUAGAUUAUGACUAUAUAUAUGUGCGUGUGUAUUCGCGCGCGUGUAUGCUUUAAUUCUUUAUGAUAUAUUGCCAAUUUCUGUUAGAUCCAAAAGGGAUUUGAUUGUCCAGAACCUUUUGAAUUAUUAACCGAAGAAUGCACAUAAAAGAGGACUACCUACUCAUAACAUUUUCGGGGCUUUUAAGGGUAUCAAGCGGUAGACAGACACCAAGGAGGGAAGAGAAUACAUGACAAGUGAAGAGAUAAACUUGUGUAACAACAACUUGGCACCAAAGCAAGUAAAGAAAUCGAUAUUGUGGCACGUAAAUUCUUUUGGGGAUUAUGUAAAUCAUCCCCUUAUAGCUUGAUUACAGGUAAAACGUUUGGUGGUUUGGGAUUUUUGGGAUAUGGAACAUUUUAAUAAAGCUGUUUUAGAUAAGUUAGGUUGAAAAUUUUAACUCAAAAAGAUAAUUGGUGGGUUAAGGUAUUUUAAGUGUAUGAGAAAUUCUUUUAAAGAAGAUUCGAUGGAUUGUGGGAGAUGGUACUCAUAUUAAAUAUUCAUUGGGUGAUUGGAUUUAGGGUUUCUAUCCACAUAAGCGGAGAUGGAAGAGCUCAACCAAUUAAACUAUAUCUUAACUAUAUCUUCUUUUUAAGGACUGUUCCUUAUAAGUAUUUUGGAAGCAUUUGGGAAAUUGUAUGUUUUAGCCAAAUUUUAAUUGUAAUAUUAAUACUGAUUAAUUACAAAGUGGUCUUUUUUUA